ACUAAAAAGAAGCUUGUAGGCCAAACUAUUAAUAGAUAUGUUCUUUAAAUUUGAAGAAUUUGGCGGUGAUUUAGUCUUGUCAGAGGAACCUGUUUUUGAAUCGAUAAACCACGUAAAAUCUUGCUUGAUUUUGUUUUCAGUUUGUAUACCGUCAUUAUCAGAUAAUUUUUAUAGAAUAAAUUGUUAAGUAAGUCUAAAACUAAAAAAUUAGAUCAAGGUGCAGCUUAUAGUCAAGCUAAAAUGGGUUACAAUAAACUUUAAUUUAUUAUGGAUAGAGUGAAGAAAUAUGCUCUGGAAAGAGGAUUUGAUUGUAAAAAGAAAUUAGUAUGUUCUUUAGAUAUAAGCCCUAAAUCAUGU
rnacentral:rRNA from 1 species